AGAGUUUGAUCAUGGCUCAGAUUGAACGCUGGCGGAAUGCUUUACACAUGCAAGUCGAGCGGCAGCGCGGGGCAACCUGGCGGCGAGCGGCGAACGGGUGAGUAACACAUCGGAACGUACCCAGUCGUGGGGGAUAACGUGGCGAAAGUCACGCUAAUACCGCAUACGUCCUGAGGGAGAAAGCGGGGGAUCGCAAGACCUCGCGCGAUUGGAGCGGCCGAUGACUGAUUAGCUAGUUGGUGGGGUAAAGGCCUACCAAGGCGACGAUCAGUAGCUGGUCUGAGAGGACGACCAGCCACACUGGGACUGAGACACGGCCCAGACUCCUACGGGAGGCAGCAGUGGGGAAUUUUGGACAAUGGGGGAAACCCUGAUCCAGCCAUUCCGCGUGAGUGAAGAAGGCCUUCGGGUUGUAAAGCUCUUUCGGCAGGAACGAAAAGGUGUGGGCUAAUAUUCUGCAUCAAUGACGGUACCUGAAGAAGAAGCACCGGCUAACUACGUG
rnacentral:rRNA from 1 species